AAAGUGCACCAUGGUAUCAUCAGACAAGGAUAAGUUGAUAGCUAGAUUAAACAAGCCUUUCAUGGUGAUCCUAAGAGUUUCACAUUAUUUUCUGAUGAUUUCAUCUAAAGUAAUACAUGAAGCCUCACGGCAUACUGCAUGUCUAAUUCACUAUUGAAAUUAAAUGGAAAUGCCAUUCAUUUAUCAGACAUAAUUGAACAUCGAAACUUAGGUUCACAUGAACGUAUGUAAAUAUAAGAUUUCAAAUACAAACAUAUAUAUGGUGACUAUAAUGGAUUUCAAAUACAAACAUAUAUAUGGUGAAGAAAUUUACCCUCUUCAAAGAACACUGAUAACCCAAAAUCAGUGGCCUUCAAAACAGCAUUCUCAUCCCUGGUAGUGAACAAGAAAUUCUCAGGUUUGAGAUCCCUGUGCAUAACACCCUUAGAGUGGCAAACAUUCACAACAUUCAUAAUUACCCUGAAUACAGAAGCCGCAUCUCUCUCACUAUAAUGGCCCUUGGCUAUAAUUCGGUCAAAUAGCUCACCACCAGCACAUAACUCCAUGACAAUAUGCACAGAAUGCCUGUCCUCAUAAGCACCCUUAAAUUGAACUAUAUUAGGCUGCCCACUCAAAUGUCGCAUUAUCUCAAUCUCUCUUCUUACGUCAUCCUUUUCAUACGCAGCUACAAUUUUUUUCUUAGAGAUAGACUUGCAAGCAAAUUGCAAACCGGUUGAAUUCUCAGUACAAAGAUAUGUAACAGCAAAUGCUCCCUUACCCAGUUCUUUCCCAAUGGUGUAAUGCAACCUGACAUCCUCGUACGGUUUACCAAGAAUUGCAUCAUCUAGUUUAGGUGGUUGCUGCUGUCGGGCUGCUGCUGGCUUUGAGGAGCCCGGGAUUUUGCUUAAACAGCCACCCAUUUCUGCAUAAGAGGCUCAGCUCAAGCUUAACUCUGGAUGUCUGGAUCUUUACAGAAGUCAACUGGAACAAAUCCACUUGAGAUCAAAGAUAAAUUAUAGGGAAUCAAGUGAGAUUUUAAGGAAAAGUAAAAUAAAAUACAAAGAGCAAUUCCAGCUUGCCCAAUUCGGAGAUAUCAACUAUAUAUUGGUACGCGUAUGUAUUUUUUCUAUCAAACUAUGCGUCAUUAUGGUUAAAAUUUAUUGGCCCUUUUUUUUUUUGGUAAGAAAUUCUGAAAUUUUUUGGCUUUUGUUCGAAAUGGUCAGCGAAAAAGAAACGCGUGGGAUAGGAUAGAAGUUUGAAUAAAUGAUGGUGGUGUAACCCGAUAAUGAACCUUCCCCAUGACACAAACAAUGAAUAACAAAGAUUCCAUUCAUAUUUUUAUUCUCCCCAUAAAUUUAAAAAAUCAAUAAAUUAAAUUAUAUCGUUCAAAUAUACACAUAGCCCACAUAAUUCAUUAUUUUUUAAAAAAAUUUAUAAAUAGUACAAAAAUUAAUAUUCCCAAUAAAAAUCUUCUAACAGAUUAAUAAUAUGAAGAUAAGUGCAUUUAAUAUAUAAAAUAAUUGGUAAAAAAUGCGUUUUUUUUGGGGUUUAUUAUGGUCCAAUUAUUGGAAAAGUCAUCCCCCCACCCUCAUGUCAUUAGUUUUUUGUUUUUUUCUUUAUGGUCAAACCAUAGUUGACCGAUGAAUGUAUUAUAUUUGCCCCUAAUAUUAUCCACUAGUAAUAAAAAAAUAACCUUAGAUUUGCAAAUAAUUUAAUGCAAACAAUUUUUUAUUUUAUUUUUCAAGUCCUUUUCUCUCUUUGUUGUUCCCCUCUCCAUCUCUGAACAAGGUCUCAGCUUGAAGAAAUUGAUUGAUAAAAAGAGCGAGUUUUCAAAGCUGUUGAAGGAUCACUGCCGUUUACAAUUUUGCUUAUGUUAACACACUGACCCACAGGCAUUGUCCUCUAAUUCGUCUUCCUCAGAGGCUGAAAUAGCGAUUCGAGUGCAAUGAAAACCCCCAAGUUGCAAUGGCUAAGUGACGAAGCUCUCUCUAGGAUUAACAUUUUAACAAAAUUGGGCAAAUCAAGAAAGGUUAAUUAUUGUGACGAGAAGAAAGACUUUCUAAUUUAUUAAGUGGCCGUUUGCUGCUGUGAUGAUGGUGAUUUUUGCCAAUGUCUUCUCUCUCGCCUCUCUGCAUUUUCCUUUUUUGAAUCAAAGGAGAUUCAUAGAAUAAAGCGUGUACUCAUCCAUGUAUUUGUUUCAACUGUAUUUUAUUUCAUAGAAACAAAUCUUAAUAGAAAUACUGCAUAAAUCUUUUGAUCCUACAAUAUUCAGAGCCUAUGUAUGCAUCACAAAAUUUGUUCACUUCCUAAUAUUUAUUUAUUUGACUGUAAGAAGAAAAUGGGAAGAAGGUAAUUUUGUGCAAUUCCGUAUAUGACUAUUAUUGUUCUAAUACACUCUCACAAAACUGCAAUAACAAAAUUUACAAAGAUAUACAGAAAACGAUGAAUAACAACACAGUUUACCUACCAGAAUACCUUGCGUCUUACGGUUACAACAUGAGCCAGAGAUCUAGAAGACAAUGCUCGCAGUUGGGUUCCGCAUUUCAUCAUUGAACGAAAUUCAUCAUAGCUGAUUCUACCAUCCUGUAUACACAAAUUAAAGGCGUGGGAAUUGACUUACAAUAAUGAAGACAAAUUACUAAUGCCCUUGAAACUGAAAAUCAACUUACUUUGUCUCUGUCAACUUCAGACAUUAUUUCUUUAAUUGUAGCAAUUGUGGCAUCAUCACCCAUGCCAUAAUCUUUGAAAGCUUUUCCGAGUUCAUCUACCGUGAUAUAUCUACAUAGCCAUUUAGAAUAAGUAAUUCGUCUUCCUCAGAGGCUGAAAUAGCGAUUCGAGUGCAAUUAAACCCCCAAGUUGCAAUGGCUAAGUGGCGAAGCUCUCUCUAGGCUUAACAUUUUAACAAAAUUGGGCAAAUCAAGAAAGGUUAAUUAUUGUGACGAGAAGAAAGACUUUCUAAUUUAUUAAGUGCCCGUUUGCUGCUGUGAUGAUGGUGAUUUUUGCCAAUGUCUUCUCUCUCGCCUCUCUGCAUUUUCCUUUUUUGAAUCAAAGGAGAUUCAUAGAAUAAAGCGUGUACUCAUCCAUGUAUUUGUUUCAACUGUAUUUUAUUUCAUAGAAACAAAUCUUAAUAGAAAUACUGCAUAAAUCUUUUGAUCCUACAAUAUUCAGAGCCUAUGUAUGCAUCACAAAAUUUGUUCACUUCCUAAUAUUUAUUUAUUUGACUGUAAGAAGAAAAUGGGAAGAAGGUAAUUUUGUGCAAUUCCGUAUAUGACUAUUAUUGUUCUAAUACACUCUCACAAAACUGCAAUAACAAAAUUUACAAAGAUAUACAGAAAACGAUGAAUAACAACACAGUUUACCUACCAGAAUACCUUGCGUCUUACGGUUACAACAUGAGCCAGAGAUCUAGAAGACAAUGCUCGCAGUUGGGUUCCGCAUUUCAUCAUUGAACGAAAUUCAUCAUAGCUGAUUCUACCAUCCUGUAAACACAAAUUAAAGGCGUGGGAAUUGGCUUGCAAUAAUGCAGACAAAUGACUAAUGCCCUCCAAAAAUAUAAAUCAACUUACUUUGUCUCUGUCAUCUUCAGACAUUAUUUCUUUAAUUGUGGCAAUUGUGGCAUCAUCACCCAUGCCAUCAUCUUUAAAAGCUUUUCCGAGUUCAUCUACCUGAUAUAUCUACAUAGCCAUUUAGAAUAAGAACUUCAUUAAUUAGUCUAGAUAUAACCCAUUCAAUUUAAGCAAGUUAAUGAAGGGCGUAUGUUUUUAAUAUCCCUCAUUCAAAUCAGGGAAAAGGACAUUCAAUCCCCCAACAUUUAAAAAAAGAGACAAAAAACCCCUCACCGUUUCAAAAAGAACUUAUAAUCCCCUUUCCAUUAACAAACACCGUUUGUUUUAAGAGUAAAUUUAUUUUUAAUUUUUAAUUACUAUUAUACAUUAUACCCUUAUAAUAAAUAAAUUAAUAUAUUAAUUUGAGAUAUAUCACAAUUAACAACUGUCAUCUAGCUAGCGUGGGUUGGAAUCGUUCUUUUAAGUUUUGACCAAAUCAAUAAAGUAUGGUUUUAAAAAAAAAAAACUCUCGAUUCCUUAAUCAAAUGUACAAUAAAUAUUAACUAAUUCACUAGCACUCAUCUCAAACCAAAAUAAACUAAUAAAAAAAUCAUUAAUUUUCAGCACCAAAACGAAGUAUCAGGACAAAUAAAAAACAACCCAGCCACCUACAUAUCCAAAACCCCAAAAAUCCAAAACUUAUAUACCAACAAGCCCAAAAAAAAGCCGUAUAAUUCUGGUUCAAUGUUUGAACAUAGAUUCUUUUCAUGAUAAUGAAAUCAUUUAUAUUUAUUUUUAUAAUAAAAAAUUACAAAAAAAUAAAAAAGAAAAUUAGCAACUGCAGUACGAUGAACAUGGAUAUUAACCAAAACUUCUUCCAAAGAACACGUGGAACUUUAUCUCUCACUAUAAGUGUCGCCGUCAAGUCAAUCUAGUGUAAUGGUUUUGAUUCCUCAAAGAAAAAAGGGUUUAAUCAAAUUUCGUUUUAUUAGUAAUAAUCACAUAUGAAAGGUUUGAUCAUUAGAAAGGUAUAAUUUAUAGCAAAUAAUUUGGGAAAAAAUGUAAUUGUAUCUCAAUUUUUAGUUUUAAAAAAAUUAUUAAUUGUGACAUUUCUCAAAUCAAUAUAUUAAUUUAUAUUUAUUAUAAGGGUAUAAUAGUAAUUAAAAAAAUAAAUUUACUAUUAAAACAAACGGUGUUUGUUAACGGAAAGGGGGUUAUAAGUCUUUUUUGAAACGUUGAGGAGUUUUUUUGUCCCUUUUCCUAAACGUUGGGGGGUUGAAUGUCAUUUUCCCUUCAAAUCAUGAUAAACCUGAGGAUCCAAAUACUAGUCAACAUGCUUCUACAGUAAUAAAAAUAAAAUGAGAAGCUUACCCGUUACUAGCCUUGUCAUUUUUCAGUGGUAGCUAUACCAUUUGUAUUAUUAAAUAGACCAAUAAAUUUUAACUUGCAGUAAUCAAAGCAGCAUAGAUAGAAUGAAUGAGAAAAAUUAAUAACAUGAGGAUCCAAUGCUUUAUACCUAGAACUUGAGCAGCAGUAAUCCGCCUUUUUGGAUCCAGUGUUAGCAUCCUGCGAACCAACUCUAUGGCACUGCUUGAUAUACUUGGAAAUGGAUCACGUUGGAAGUCAAUUUCUCCUUUUAAUAUAGCCAGAGCAACUCCCUGCUCCGUUUCUGCAGAGCACACAAAAAAUUCAGAGUGGUCAUAGUCACACUCUGUACUCUUAGUUGACGGUAAGAAAUACAAAAACGUUGUUGAAGUGAAAAGAGAUCGUGUAGGGUGCAAAAAGAAUAUUGAUUUUCACCUGCCCAAAAGGGAGGCACACCACACAAUAAAAUAUACAAUAUCACUCCUGCGCUCCAAAUGUCUGCUUCCUUCCCAUAACUUCGCUUUAAUACUUCGGGAGCCAUAUAGUAAGGACUCCCAACUAUUUCGUCGUAAGCCUUUCCUGGAAAAUGAAUCAUACGGUAAUAAAAAAAGGAUACAUUAAUAGCUCGAUUAAUCAAAUAUGCCUUCCUGGUGAUCCUAAGAGUUUUGUAUUAUUUUCUUAUGAUUUCACCUAAAUCAAUACAUUAAGUGAGUUACAGCUUACUCAAAUGAUAUGUAUCGGAAAAUUCUACAGGCAUGAAAGACUACUACAUGCAGUAAAAUCUAAACAUGGAAAAUGUGCAAGGAAGGUAGAGAAAUUUACUUUCUUCAAUGAACACUGAUAACCCAAAAUCAGCGGCCUUCAAAACAGCAUUCUCAUCCCCGGUAGUGAACAAGAAAUUCUCAGGUUUGAGAUCCCUGUGCAUAACACCCUUAGAGUGGCAAACAUUCACAACAUUCAUAAUUACCCUGAAUACAGAAGCCGCAGAUCUCUCGCUAUAAUGGCCCCUGGCUACAAUUCGAUCAAAUAGCUCACCACCAACACAUAAUUCCAUAACAAUAUGCACAAAUUGGUCAUCCUCAUAAGCAGCCUUGAAUUGGACUAUGUUGGGCUGCCCACUCAAAUAUUGCAUUACCUCAACCUCUCUUCUUACAUCAUCCUUAUAAUAAUCAUUUACCAGCUUUCUUUUAGGAAUAGACUUGCAAGCAAAUUCCAAACCGGUUGAAUUCUCAGUACAAAGAUAAGUUAUACCAAAUUCACCCCUACCCAAUUCUCUACCAAGAGUAUAAUGUAACUUAACAUCCUCAUAAGCUUUACAAAGAAUUGCAUCAUGGAGUUGGCGUGCUGCUGGGUAGUCUCCAUCUUGGCCUUUGUCAUGGAGUUGGCGUGCUGCUGGGUGGUCUGAGUCUUGGCCUUUGCUGAAAAUGCAACCCAUUUCUGGCCGCCACCAGCACAGAGGAUGCAAGACAGGACGGUGGGCAAUUUCAAAGAAUAUGCAGGACCCAGAUGUAUUCAACUACACAUCACAGUUCCUGCCUUUGAAUUGAUUCUUUAAAAUUUACAAUGAGAUUUGUUAGAAGAAGACCGCUGCGAAGGCAAUUCGACCGUCCUCUAUUAAAAACACUUUCUUUUUUAAUAUCCCAUUCAGACUUCGGAAGGAUGGAUUGUUUACAAUAAUUUGCUCGUAAAUUGCUGCACGCCCCCUGAUAUUUGGCUCAAUACCCCAUUGCCUCUCUACGUUUUGAAAAUACCUGCUUACCCCUGGCAUGUAAACUUUUGUACAGUUUGAUAAUUUUGCCUUUCUUUUGAGUUCUGGGUUCCAGAUCUGGUCUUGGGAUCAUUCGUUAUUAACAAGUUUGGAUAUCUUGGGUUUAAAAUAAUAACUGAAAUCGAAACCACGACAUGAAGUACCGAAUUAACUUGGAGAAAAAACUUAUCUCUGCAUGCUGCGCUAUUACCUCAUCAGGCUCUGCCAUUGGUUUUAUGGAAGCAUGCCAUAAUUUUAUUUAUUUGUUGAGUUUUAUUCAUAUAAUCACUAUAGAUUUCGAGACCAACAUGUUCUAUCAUUUGACAGAGUAAGCACAUAAAUACAAGUCUUUCUUACUAACUUAAUGGGAGGUAUCUGUUCUUUUCCUAAUCUUGGUUAAUUACAUCCCACUUACUCGAAUAAUUUACUAUAAACUCCUUUAAAAAUUUUAAAUUCAAACAAAUUAGAGUUUUUCGUAAUUAAUCAUUUAAGAACUCUCUAAUUCCUUUAGUAAUUUGCAUAAUUUUCAUUAUUUAAUUUCUCCUAUUGUCAGUUAGGUCCCUUGAAUUUUUUGACCGCUAGAGUUGAGUUCAAAUGAGAUCAAUUUGAUUAUUCUACCAUCAUAUGUAAAGGACAAAAUUCUCCUCAAAAUUAUUAUAACUUCCAAAACUUCUUUUUGUCUUUGUCUUUAUUGUAGUAGGAUUGUUAGAUUCAAUAUAAUCUAUUAUUAUUAUUAUUCUUUGCAAAGUUUUAUUCUAGGUUCAUUAAUUAAUUUUUGCGCUUCAUUUUCUUUGUAUUUCUGGCACUUCUCCAACACUUCAUCAAAUCUCAUGCUAGCUAGUUAGAAGUUAAAACUGUUCCAAGAACACUGGAAGCCUAUCAAGUAAAAUUAAAAUUAAGGUAAGUUACUAAUUUACCUAUUUCAUUAUUAAUAUUUAGAAAAUCGCAUUAUGCAAGAUUACAAGUUAUAAUUACAUCAUUAAAAUAUUAAGGCAGAGUAGCACAUGUUUUACGAGAAUUUUAUUCAUUUUAUAUCAUAAAGGUAAAAUAGAUAAAUUAACUUUAUAGAGUCAUAGAUGGCCAAUGACUAUUAAGUAGGAAAAAAAAAAGCACGUAUAACUUAAAUUAAUUAAUUUAUGAAUGAUCAAUUUAUAGAAUUUUUAAAGUGGGGGGUGUCUAGUGUUUAGGCAACAUGUGGGGGUUCCGCACUCUCCUUUUAUAUAUUUCAAUUCUAAUUUUUAUUAUCAUAAAAAAACAAAUACAGAUACCUUUGUAUAAAGCACGGCUUUAGGUACCACUGCCAGAAUAUCUUCCGUCUUAUGGCAACAACGUGAGCUAAAGGUCUCGAAGAUACUGCUUGCAGAUGGGUUCCGCUUUUCAUCAUCGCUCGAAAUUCAUCGUAGCUGAUCCUACCAUCCUAUAAUUAAACACAUAACACAUGACACAUGAGGCCGAGGCUUAGCUGAUCCUACCAUCCUACCAUCCUAUCAAAAAACAAGAACCAGAUUAACUACUUUAUCUCUAUCAACUUCAGACAUUAUUUCUUUUUUCAUUGCAAUCGUGACAUCAUCUCCCAUGUUAUAUCCUUUAAAAGCUGUUUCCAAUUCAUCGACUGUGAUAUAUCUGCACAGGCGUUCAUAAUGUAGAAGAACAAACUAAGUAAUUGCUUCAUCAAUGCAGUUCUGUCUGUAACCGAGGAUCAAAGUUUGCUAAAGAUGCUUCUACAUUCAUAGAAGUAUAUAAAAAAAUACUCACCCAGUAUUAUCCUUGUCAAAGUGUUGGAAAGCUUUAUAAAGACGUUCAAAUCUUUCUAGCUUGUGUCUUUGCAUCGUAGCAGUUAUAAAUUCAAUGUAAACGAUAGUCUUGUUUCCAUCUAUAUCAGCCUUUAGAAAUGCAUGGUCAGCAAUAUCAGCUGAGCAUAUAAUGCAAAUAGACAGACAAUAGGAUGAAUUCAGAGCUCAUGAAUUCCUUACGGCUUGCAUGCACUGCUGACUUCGGUUUUUGUAAGCAUCUAUUCAGGUUUAGCUAAUCCUGCUUUCAAUUCAUCAUAAGUAAGCCAUUGUUGUCAGUGUCCUUCUCCGUUAAUUUUUCCUUGAGUUUUCAUAUUUCUUCGGUUGGAAGACUUCGCACAAUGACCUAUAUAUAUAUAUUAAUUUGAAAUGAACCCGGCACAGGUUGUCAGUAGGCAAAAGCACAAUAAAACAGAUGAAUCAUCGGACUUGCUCAUAUAUAUAUACACACACACUUUAUAUUUAUAGACACCCUACAAUUAAGCAUUUUUUAUCAGGAAGUGUAGACGCAGAAAUUCAAUCAAAUAUAUACCACAUGAUUCUAACUGCCAUAUAAAUUCUAUUAUAAUGUUUACAAUACAAUGUUCUCAUGAACAUAUCUAGAUUUCCAUAUUUGAUUUAGAUCCUCUACUAAUCUGACAUUACCUAUACGUUGUCAUGUUAACGAAUAACGUGACAUGUCUAUAUCAAUUAUUACUUAAGGCGUGGUCAAGAUCUGUUCUUUUAUCAUCUCACUUAUUUGUCACACCUCGUAUUAGCAGAUGAAAAUAAGCUCAUUGUAGAAGAAUCCUGAACUUUAGACUUACCUUUAGUGCUAGUUUUUUUAGUUUGUUCAUUGCUCGAAAUUGCUUUACCCUGAAAAUGACAGCACCGUCGAUUGGCUUGUCUGAUGCUUCUCCACUUUCUUUAAGCCAAGGGUGCUCUGCACAUACAUCUUUCAUACAGUUUUCAAUGUUCUAUACUACUGGUACUAUUAAAUGGACUAUAUACAUAUAUAUAUACAUCAAAACAUCAUAGGUAAGAAAUACUGAUAACUUCAGGAUCUACUGCUUUCAACCUAGAACUUGAGCAGCAGUAAUCCAUUUUUUUUUUUUUUGUUUCCUUGUCAGCAUCUUGUGAACCAACUACUUGGCACCACUUGAAAAAGUUGGCCGAGGAUUAAUUUUUAAGUCAAGUUUUCCUUGCAAAAUAGCAUCAUAAAUUCCCUUCUCAGUUUCUGCAAGGAUACUUCAUCAAAAGUGAGUGAUUAUAUUAAAUUUCCAAUACUUUUAAGUCAAAAGAAAUAAGCAUAUACAGGGGAAAAGAGAUCAUGUAGUGUGCAAACUGCAAAAUGCAUAUUUUUACCUGCCCAAAAUGGAGGUACACCAGAUAGUAAAACAUACAAUAUAACUCCUGCACUCCCAAGUCUAUUCCUCUAACCUUUCCUAGAAAGUUUACCAAGGCAUAAUCAGAUUAAGAAUGUCAAUGCCUAAAUUAAAAAUGCCUUUUUCUACACAAGCCACAAAAUGCUGCCAAACAUACCACAAACAUAAACAAUCCAUGUUUAUGCACGAACAUGAAAUACAAACUUUCUGUACAAUUAAGAUUAGAACAAUUUAAAAUUUUAUAAAAAGAUCGAAAAUUGAUAUUUCAUGAUCAAGGGCCACCCUUAGCCGUCUAAACGUAGUGUAGAGCUUUGGUUGGUCUAAUUAUCUUAUCAAACCAAAGACUCUGCCCAAGAUCUUGAAUAAGAUCAACACAAGUUGCACAGGCAGAGAAUCAAAUCUGAAUCAACUCAACCAUCAAUUAACCAGACUUAAACACUCAAGAAAUAGAAUCAAGACGAAAGAUAAAGAUGAAUCAGAAACAAAAACACAGAGAAAGCAAGAGAUAACGUGGUUCAGUCUUUUUCAAGACCUACAGAGAUAACGUGGUUCAGUCUUUUUCAAGACCUACAGAGAUAACGUGGUUCAGUCUUUUUCAAGACCUACAGAGAUAACGUGGUUCAGUCUUUUUCAAGACCUACAGAGAUAACGUGGUUCAGUCUUUUUCAAGACCUACAGAGAUAACGUGGUUCAGUCUUUUUCAAGACCUACAGAGAUAACGUGGUUCAGUCUUUUUCAAGACCUACACCAACGAGUGAAAACAUCAGAGCUUGUUUUGAUUGAUUCAUGAAGAAAAAUUAUAAGCAUUCAGAGAUGUGUUUACAGAGCACAAGAAUCAACUUUCUCUCUACUGGAAAACUCUCUAGAAUACUCUCGAAUCUCGCGUGAAAUGAGCUGGUGAACCAGCUUUAUAUUACGGAUGAAAAACAAACUUUGAACCCAGAAUGCACAGCUGCUUCCCACGUGUCCAGGCCAGACGAGCUUCAAGCGAGCACGUGACUUGGCACGAGCAACUUCGUUAAUACCGUUAUCAGUAAAACGCAAGUCUAAGCGUCGUUUCACUUAUAGAGGUCACGAGCUUCCUCACGUGGCUUCAUAACGAAACAGUUUCGUUGCUCCAUACGCUGUCGUUUUUGCUCUGGAUUGCUCUACACGUAGAUUUUGAAACUGUUUCUUUGGUGCAUUUAAAUUAUCAAGGAAUUAAUAAAGUGUUAGCUCCACUGGCAAUGAAGUCCCUUUCAGUGGUUUGAUUGGGUUUGCUCCCCAGUUUGAGUCGCAGGGAAGUCAUCUUUGUUGGGAGAACUUGUGCCUCCCGGUUCGAGCGGGGACUUCUAGUCUGAGUUGUGGUACGGGCUUAAAGGUGUCUCCCACAGUUGAGGUGCUCCCCAAGAUACCUCGUGGUUAAGACCAAAAAAAAAAAAAAAUUAUCAAGGGAAAUGAUUAAUUGCAUAGUGAAGUACAAGAAAAUUUACGCUUUUCAAAGAAUGACGCCAACCCAAAAUCAAUGACCUUCAAGCGAGCAUUCUCAUCCUUGCUAGUGAACAAGAAAUUCUCAGGUUUGAGAUGCAUGUGCAUAACACCCUUAGGUCGGCAGACGUUCACUUUAUUCACAAUAUCCGUAAAUACCAAUGCUGCAGCUCUCUCACUAUUGUGCCCCUUGGCUAUAAUCCGAUCAAAUAGCUCACCACCAGCACAGUACUCCAUAGCAAUAUGCACAAAAUGCCUAUCCUCAUAAACACACUUAAAGUCAACAAUGCUAGGCUGCCCACGCUCAAAUGUUGCAUUAUAUGAAUCUCUCUUUUGAUAUCAUCCUUAUCAUUCUUAGUCACAGUUUCCUCUUAGCAAUUGACUUGCAAGCAAAUUGCCUGCCGGUCGAAUUCUCCAUACAUAAAUAAGUAACACCAAAUUGACCCCUACCUAACUUUUUACCAAGAUUAUAGAAUAACCUAACAUCAUCAUAAGCUUUACCAAGAAUUGCAUCUGAAGUCUUAGAUAGUGGUUUUGGGCUUAACAAUUGAGCUUCAGGCGCUACAGGCUCUUGGUUUCUAUGAUCACGAAGAACGCCUGUAUUUGCUUGUGAUGUGCUGCCAUAACAUAAUCUUGUGGUUUUGAGUGUUGAAUUUUGGUUAAAACACUACCUAUUUCUUUUUACCACCUAGAAAUCGAUAGACUGCUGAACUGUUUAUGAUGUUCAUGGAAAACGAGACCUUGAGUAUUUUAUUAUAGGAUGAGAUGCAUAGUGAAAAAGCACAGAUAACAAAACAGAAACUGCAGGAUGUGUAAUUCAGAUGAAGAUACAACAUGAAUUACAAAUGAAUACAAAAGGGCAAGUGGAUUUUUUCGGUUUCAGAGUUGAGGUUUGUGGGGAAGGUCCGCUACUCUUGGAAUAAUGGACUGUAAACAACAUGAAAUACUUUUUGGUCAGACUCACAAUUAGUCAAUUAUUUAUGUCGCUUUUAUCAUUUGAUUCCUUGUUGUUUCUCAAUAUAAAUUCAUGAGCCAAAAUUUUCAGAUAUAAUUCACUUAGGCCAUGUUUGGCAUGCCUCAUUAUAUUAUAUUAGAGCUGUGCAUUGUAUUAAAAUAUUACUAUACAAUGUUUGGCACUUAUCCGGUAUUGUAUUAAAAAAAAGAAAAAAGAAUGUGGGAAAACCCACAUAUUUGAAAUCUGGUUGAGACUCGAGUUCAUACCACAUUGUAUUAAUGUUGUAUUUACUAAUCCGGAAUGAGAAUCAGAAUGGAAGAAUUAGAAAGAAUAACAUGUUUACUUGUUAAAUUAAGGUUGGGAAUGAAAAUGAAUUUCGUGGGCCCCACAUAAAUUUUGGAUUGAUCGCUAGAGUUGUGAUUCUCGGAGGGGGUUGGCAAUGAGAACCUCAUUUCUUGGAAUGACAAAAUUAUCUCCACUACACUAUUAAUAUACCCAGGAUACCCUCUUUGGAAAUUAAAAAAUAUAAAUUGAAAGAAGACAAAACUGAAAAAUUUAUUAUGAUAACGGAAUUCAUUUUAUUAUUAGUAUUAUUGUUGUUGUUGUUGUUAUUAGUGUUAUUAAUUUAUUAACAAUUACUAUUAUUUAUUUUAUUUUAUUAGUUUUAUUAUCAUCAUCAUCAUCAAAUGACAAUAGUUAACAAAGGGUAUUUUAAUAAAUUAUUAAUGAUAUUAUUUUUAUUUUAUUAUUAUUAACAAUCAUUUUUAUGAUAAUAAAAAUCAGAAAUAAUAAUGAUGAUGAUGAUAAUAGUAGUGGUUAUAAUUAACUUAGAACAUUUCAGUAACUUGAAAAAAUUAAAGUUAUUCUAAUUCUGAUUCUAAGAUAAAAUAAACACAUCAAUGGAAUUCUAACUCAUUAUGAUUUCGAUUUAUACAGCUCAAGUAAACAACUUAUUCUAAUUCUUAUUCUUCAUUCUCAUUCCAACAUAUUCUCAUUACAGAAAAUUCUGAUUACUGAUAAGUAAACGCAGCAUAAAUCCUUUUACCCUCUUCUUCUUCUUCGUCUUCUUUGUUUUUCUCACUUUUUUUCUUUAUUUUUGAUCAUGCCCUCUUCUUUUUUGUCUCCUCUGUUUCUCUCUCUUUUUUCUUUUAUUUUUCUCCUUUUCUUCUUCGUCUUCUCUGAUUCUCUCUCUCUCUCUCUCUUCUUCUUCUUAUUGGUAAUUAAAUUUGAGUUUACAAUUUAGUUCAAAAAAAUAAUUGUUUUCAUCUUUCAUCAAUAAGACUUGUAUAUAAAAAUUAAUUAUCUAUAAGAAUUAUAAAUCAAUUAAUGGAGGGUAAAAUCAUUAAUUUAAUUUAUAAUAUUUAAAUAUGUUAAUUUUAUUAGAGUUAGAGUGUCACUUGUGUGUUUAUUUUUAAAACAUUUAUUGCUUUUUUAAUAAAUGUCGAAAUAAGUGUCAUUUAGGUGAUAUUAACCUUAUUUUUUAGCACUUCUAUUAAUUUUUUUUUAAUUUUAGACUUUUUAUAUUUGAUAUUUUUCUAAAUAUUUUGAAAUUAUUUUCUAAAUAUAUAAUGUAAAUUAAUUACCAAAGAAACUUAGCUUCACGCAACGUAUGUAAAUAUAAGAUUUCAAAUACAAACAUGUACGUGGUGCCUAUAACGGAAACGAUAAGUAUUAAGUAAUAUAUACAGUGAAGAAAUUUACCCUCUUCAAUGAACACUGAUAACCCAAAAUCAGUGGCCAUCAAAACAUCAUUCUCAUCCCUGGUAGUGAACAAGAAAUUCUCAGGUUUGAGAUCCCUAUGCAUAACACCCUUAGAGUGGCAAACAUUCACAACAUUCAUAAUUACCCUGAAUACAGAAGCCGCAUCUCUCUCACUAUAAUGGCCCCUGGCUAUAAUUCGGUCAAAUAGCUCACCACCAGCACAUAACUCCAUAACAAUAUGCACAUAAUGCAUGUCCUCAUAAGCACCUUUAAAUUGAACUAUAUUAGGCUGCCUACUCAAAUGUCGCAUUAUCUCAAUCUCUCUUCUUAUGUCAUCCUUUUCAUACGCCGCCACAAUUUUUUUCUUAGAGAUAAACUUGCAAGCAAAUUGCAAACCGGUUGAAUUCUCAGUACAAAGAUAUGUAACAGCAAAUGCUCCCUUACCCAGUUCUUUCCCAAUAGUGUAAUGCAACCUGACAUCUUUGUACGGUUUACCAAGAAUUGCACCGUCUAGUUUACAGAUGUAUUUGGGAGUGUGGUAAGGUAGUUGUGCUAGUAUUAAAGUGUUUGGUAACACUUGUAGUUGGGCUUUGACAGCUUAAGAGAUUUUUUUUCCCAGCUGUAGGUUAAAUUACUAAAUUAGUCUUAUAUAUUAUUCAAUUUCAAUUUUAUCCUCAUUUUUAAUCUUCAUUUCAAAUCAAUUUUUUUUUUAUGAAACAAACCCUAAACGCUCAUUCUCAUCAGUAUGGUUCUGACUCUGGCAGUUCUAAUUGAUGCAAUUCUAACACCGAUAAUUCUCAUCGACGCGAUUUCGACACCGGCCACUCUCAUACGCCUCUGUCAGUGGUGCAUUUUCCUUUACCCCUUGUUCAUUUUUGAAUGCUCCUUUGCUCUAUUACAUGCAAUUUUUCAUUUUCUUCCUUUUUGUUCAUAAUAUUUUGGGGGCUUGUGCAGAAUAAAUUGAUGGGUGAUGGGUCAUGCCUGAUUUAUUUACUUGUACCCACCGUUUUUAUUGUAGUAGUUGCUUUUUGUAGACACACACAUCCCUUGUUUGAUGAAAUUCCCAUGAUAAAAAUCCAUCUCAAAUUUAUUUGAGCAGAGUUCAUGUUUUGAUAUUGUAACAAGUUUCAAUUUUGUUUAUAUUUACAUGUAGAAAUUGUAAUAUAUAGUAUGCACAUAUGAGUGGUAUAGGUUGUGUUAGAUAUGAAGCUCAAAAUCUGAACUUGAGACUGUAUACGACAAGUCAACUUAAACCUUGCAUUGGGUAUGACAUGUCAGCUGCAGGAGUUCAGGGAGCUGUAUGACAUUCUUACUUUGUCGGUAAAAUAAGUAAGUGACUCACGUGAUGAAACACGUGCAUCACUUACUCAAAACGACAGAGGUGAAUACCGCUUUGUACUCAGGAGCUUAAGAAGAUGAAACACGUGGCUACCAGAGGUUCAAAAGGCCGUUAAAGGCUGUUAUCACGCGGACAAAAGACUGGGUUUGUUAUGAACAAACCCAGGUGGCGUUAGCAGUUGACUGAUGAAGGGUCCUUCUAGAUCAUUUCCUUACUAUAUAUAUAGCUCUAUGAUGAGAUCUUGUGUAGCGUGAUUUUGUACUAUUUUCUCAAGAACUUUGUAUCUUUAAUAAGCUCUGAUAAUGGACCUCUUCUUCUCCUUCACAGUGGAUGUAUGCUCACCUUGUGGCCGAACCACUAUAAAUCACUGGUGUCAAGUGUGUGUACUUUUUUUUUCUAUUUUCUUUGAGUUGCUUGAGUGAAUUAUCACUUUAUUCAUUAGCCAAUAAAACUAAGUAGAUUCUGAAAUCUUGAGCAAAUAAAGGUGGAUCUUGGGAGAACUAAAUCGGCGACAAAUUGGUUAAGUUCUAACAAAUUGGUAUCAGAGCCAGUCCACUGAAUUCUUGAUCUCAGAAUGGCUGCACCAAAGCUUGAGGUAGAGAAAUUUUCAUGUGAAAAUGAUUUUCACCUGUGGAGGCUUAAAAUGAAGGCCUUGCUGGUACAUAAAGGUCUAGAUGUAGCACUUGGGGAGGUUUCAUCAUCCAAGAAACCAAGAAAAAUUGCUAAUGAAGAUUUACCAUAUGUACUGGACAGAGCUCAUAGUGCAAUAAUUCUAAGCCUUGGAGAUGGUGUACUCAGAGAGGUUGGUGGUGAAAAGACAGCAGCAAGUCUGCGGAAAAAGCUUGAGGAUCUCUACACCAAGAAAUCAAUGGCCAAACGUCUAGCCACAAAGAAGAAGCUUUAUACCCUUCAGAUGGAAUAUGGGUCUUCAAUCACUGAUCACAUUGAUGCUUUCAACAAGAUCAUACUAGAUCUUGAAGACAUUAAUGUGAAAACUGAUCACAUUGAUGCUUUCAACAAGAUCAUACUAGAUCUUGAAGACAUUAAUGUGAAAAUUGAUGAUGAAGACAAAGCUAUGAUCCUGCUUUGUUCACUACCAAGCUCAUAUGGACAUUUAGUUGACACACUUAUGUGUGGAAGGCAAACUCUUACCAUGGUAGAUGUAAAGGAGAAUCUGAGUUCCAAGGCUGCAAUAAAGAAAGAAUCCAGAGAUGGAUAAGGCUUGACAGUAAGAGGAAUGACUGAAAAAAGAGAAGAGAACACGGGAAAGAAGAAAAGAUCCAAAUCAAAAUCAAGGAAAUGUUUUCAGUGUCAUAAGGAGGGUCAUUUCAAAAGAGAUUGUCCUGAGAAGAAAUACAAGAAUAAAGAUGCAAAAGAGAAGAGUGGAGAUGCUGUUGUUGCAUCAGAAUUCGAGGGAUCUGAUGGCUAUGACUCAGCUGGAGUUCUAAUAGCAACUGAUGGUCAAACUAGAGGUAAUUGAGUUCUAGAUUCUGGUUGUUCCUUUCACAUGUGCCCUAAUAAGAGUCUAUUCAUGAACUAUGAGGCCUAUGAUGGUGGAAUAAUUGUAAUGGGUAAUGAUACUAGCUGUAAGGUAGUUGGCAGGGGUUUAAUUAGGCUGAAAAUGUUUGAUGGCAUGAUUAGGGAACUAAGGGAUGUUAAAUAUGUUCCUAAAUUAAAAAGAAACUUUAUUUCUCUUGGGAUGCUUGAUAAAAUGAGAUGUCUAGUUAAACUUGAAUCAGACAUUUUAAAGGUUAUGAAAGGGUCAAUGGUUGUGAUGAAGGAGAACAUGAGCAAUGGCCUGUAUGUGCUUCAGGGUUCAGCUGUAACAAGUGAAGUUGCUGUGACAAAUCAGAAUAUAGACAAAUCUAUGUUGUGGCAUAUGAGGUUAGGCCAUAUGAGUGAAAGGGGCUUAAAAGAACUGACAACAUGGAGUUCUAGGUGUAGACAAGAUAAAGCCUUUGAGGUUCUGUGAAAAACGUGUCCUAGGAAAGUCUUCAAGGGUAAAAUUUAGUACUAGUAUCCAUAACUCAAAGGGAACUCUAGACUACAUUCAUGUUGAUCUGUGGGGGCCAGCACAGACAAUUUCACUAGGUGGGGUAAAAUAUUUCUUAUCUCUCAUUCAUGAUUUUUCUAGAAUGGUUUGGGUAUAUAUGUUAAAAACCAAGGAUGAUGCAUUUGAUCAGUUUAAAGCUUGGAAGACACUGGUAGAAACUCAAACAAAUAGGGAAGUCAAUAGGCUAAGGACUGAUAACGGGCUAGAAUUUUGUAAUAAGAACUUUGAUGAUUGUUGUAUUGAAAAUGGUAUCAUGAGGCAUAAAACAGUUAGGCAUACCCCUCAACAUAAUGGAUUAGCAGAAAUGAUGAAUAUGACUUUGGUUGACAAAGUGAGAUGCAUGUUAAUACACUCAAAACUGUCAAAGGCUCUAUGGGCAGAAACUUUAUCUACAACCUGUUACAUUGUAAACAGAAGUCCUUCUUCUGGAAUCAACUUUAAAACUCCAAUUGAAUUGUGGUCUGGUAAACCAGCAGACUAUUCCAAUUUAAGGGUGUUUGGCUGCCCUGCAUUUGCACACAUUAAGCAGGGGAAACUAGAACCUAGAGCCUUGAAUGGUGUAUUUUUAGGCUAUCCAGAUGAGGUGAAGGGAUUUGAACUCUGGUGUACUGAUUUGAAACCACCAAGAGCUAUUAUCAGUAGGGAUGUUGUAUUUAAUGAAGCUGAAAUGCUUCAAAAUACAACACAGCCAAAAACUAUGAUCAUUAAGCUUGGAGACAGAAACCAGAAGUUUCACUUUGAGGUGGAGCUCUCAACUUCUAAUGCAAGACAUGAACCAAGAGUUGAACCUGAGUCAGAAUCGGAUAUGCAGAUUCCUGAGUCUAUACCUAACUUAGUAGGUGAUAAGGAAGUAAGGGAUUAUCAGUUCGUGAGAGACAGAGAAAAAAGGGUUAUAAAGCCACCAAAGAGAUAUGCUUAUGCAGACCCUAUUGCAUUUGCAUUGACAGUAGCACAUGAAGUUGAACCUGAUGAACCAAGAACUUAUUCAGAAGCUGUUAAGAGUAAUAAGUCAAAAGGAGUGGAAACAAGCUAUGGAUAAGGAAAUGCAAUCAUUGAUAAAAAACCAGACAUGGGAGCUGAUUGAAAAACCAGCAAAUAAGAGGGUAGUGGGCUGUAAAUGGGUUUAUAAGAUUAAAGAAUGGAUACUAGGUGUUGAAUCUCAAAGGUAUAAAGUUAGGCUUGUUGCCAAAGGCUUUACACAGAAAGAGGGUAUUGACUUCACAGAGGUGUUUUCUCUAAUAGUCAGACACUUAUCCUUAAGAAUCUUAUUAGCACUUGUAGUUGUCAAAGACAUGCACCUUGAGCAGAUGGAUGUCAAGACUGCCUUCCUUCAUGGUGAAUUUGAUGAAAUGAUUGUAAUGGCUCAACCAGAAGGCUAUGUGAAUCCAGAAAAGGCUGAUUAUGCUUGUCAUCUAAAAAAGCCACUAUAUGGGCUUAAACAAUCUCCAAGGCUGUGGUAUUUGAGAUUUGACAAGUUUAUGUCAGAACAUGGUUUCCAAAGAAGUAGUUUUGACUGCUGUGUAUAUUUCAAAUAGGUGGAGGAUGACACCAAGAUUUAUCUGCUGUUAUACGUUGAUGAUAUGUUGAUUGCAUGUUAAAACAUGGAGCAAAUAAAUGUCCUUGAACAACAACUGAGAGAAGUCUUUGAAAUGAAGGAUUUAAGAGCAGCAAAGAAAAUACUUGGGGUAGAAAUAAUCAGAGAUAAAAAGCAGGGUAUCCUAUACUUAACUCAACAGAAAUGCAUCAGGAAAGUACUCGAGAAGUUUGGGAUGGGGAGCUCAAAGCCUGUCCAAACACCACUACCAGCUCAUUUUAGACUCUCAAGUCAGCAGUGCCCAAAAACUGAAGAAGAGAUGACUGAAAUAAACAUGGUUCCUUACUCAAGUGUUGUUGGGUGCCUAAUGUAUGCAAUGGUUCUAACCAGGCCAGAUAUAUCUUAUGCAGUAAGUGUGGUAAGCAAAUAUAUGGCAAACCCUGGACAAGAACAUUGGAAAGUUGUGAUAUGGGUGCUGAGAUACCUAAAGGGCACAUCUGAUUAUGGUCUGGUCUAUGGAAUCAGAAAAUAAGAGGAAGUCAUAGUUGAAGGCUUUGUAGAUGCUGAUUUUGCUGGGGAUCUGGAUAAGAAAAGGUCCUCGACAGGUUACAUAUUUACUCUAAAUGGCUGUACUGUCAAUUGGAAAGCCACAUUGAAGAAUGUUGUAGCAUUAUCAAUAAUUGAAGCAGAGUACACUGCAGCAGCAGAAGCUGUUAAAGAAUCAAUAUGGCUUAGAGGAAUGGUAACUGAACUGGGAUUCAAACAAGAGCAGGUGUUGGUUCAUUGUGACAAUCACAGUGCUAUUUGUUUGAGUAAAAAUCAAGUCCAUCACGAAAGAACUAAACACAUAGAUAUCAAGCUUCAUUUUCUGAGACUAGAGGUAUCAAAAGGAGUGGUGAAGUUAGAGAAAAUUCACACUGAUGAUAACCUUGUAGACUUCCUAACCAAGGCUGUUCCAGGUGCCAAGUUUGAGUUAUGUUUGAACUCAGCUGGGAUCUGCAAGAUAUAGAUUGCAGAUGUAAAGUGAUGGUGAGGAAGGGGAGCAGCAGAUUUGAGUUUAAGGUGGAGAAUGUUAGAUAUGAAGCUCAAAAUCUGAACUUGAGACUGUAUACGACAAGUCAACUUAAACCUUGCAUUGGGUAUGACAUGUCAGCUGCAGGAGUUCAGGGAGCUGUAUGACAUUCUUACUUUGUCGGUAAAAUAAGUAAGUGACUCACGUGAUGAAACACGUGCAUCACUUACUCAAAACGACAGAGGUGAAUACCGCUUUGUACUCAGGAGCUUAAGAAGAUGAAACACGUGGCUACCAGAGAUGCAAAAAGUCGUUAAAGCUUGUUAUCACACGGGCAAAAGACUGGGUUUGUUAUGAACAAACCCAAGUGGCGUUAGCAGUUGACUGAUGAAGGGUCCUUCUAGAUCAUUUCCUUACUAUAUAUAUAGCCCUAUGAUGAGAUCUUGUGUAGCGUGAUUUUGUACUAUCUUCUCAAGAACUUUGUAUCUUUAAUAAGCUCUGAUAGUGAAACUCUUCUUCUCCUUCACAGUGGAUGUAGGCUCACCUUGUGGCCGAACCACUAUAAAUCACUGGUGUCAAGUGUGUGUACUUUCUUUUCUGUUUUCUUUGAGUUGCUUGAGUGAAUUACCACUUAUUCAUUAGCCAAUAAAACUAAGUAAAUUCUGAAAUCUUGAGCAAAUAAAGGUGGAUCUUGGGAGAAUUAAAUCGGUGACAAAUUGGUUAAGUUCUAACAGAUUGUUUUCUUAAGGUUUAAAAAUAAUGUUAUUUAAAAUUAAUUAUUACAAAUAUUCAUCGACUCCAUACCUAUUAAAAUUUAACAAACACUAAUAACAACUGCAAUUUAAAAGUUACAACACCUUUAUAAAAAACCAUCAGCUUCUACUCCAUAGUUAUAACUUUUACUCUAUAACAAUUGCAACUUAAAAGAUACAAUACUGCACUUCCAAACGCACCCUAAGUGGUGGCUGCUGUCGCGCUGCUGCAGGGUUUGAGGAGGCUGGGCUUUUGCUUAAACAGCAACCCAUUUCUGCAUAAGAGGCUCAGCUCAAGCUCAACUCUGGAUGCUGGAUCUUUACAAAAGUAAACUGGAACAGAUCCAGUUGAGAUCAAACAUAAAUUAUAGGGAAUCAAAUGAGAUUUUGAGGAAAAGCAAAAUAAAAUAUAAAGAAUGAUUCCAGCUUGCCCACUUGGGAGGCACCAACUGUAUAUUUGUAUGCGCAUAUAUAUUUAACUAUCAAACUAUACGUCAAUAUAGUUAAAAUUUAUGGGCCUUUUUUUUUUUUUUUGGUAAGAAAUUUAUUGGCUUUUGUUGGAAAUGGUCAGCGAAAAAGAAACGCGUGGGAUAGGAUAGAAGUUUGAAUAAAUGAUGAGGUUGUAAAUAAUGUCUUUAGGACAGAAAUUUGAUAUUAAAAUUGGAAUUAUGGAACCUUCCCCAUGACACGAACAAUGAAUAACAAAGAUUCCGUUCAUAUUUUUAUUCUCUCCAUAAAUUAAAAAAAAAUUAAUAAGUUAAAUAAUAUCUUUCAAGUUCCAACUUUCAGAAGUUGCGUUACACUUUAAAAGUUCAAAUAUACACGCAGCCCACAUAAUUCAUUAUUUUUAUUAAAUUUUUUUUAUAAAUAGUACUAAAAUUAAUAUUAUCAAUGAAAAAUUUCUAACAGAUUAAUAAUAUGAAGAUAAUUGUAUUUAAUAUUUAAAAUAAUUCGUAAAAAUGCAUAUUUUUUUCGUUUAUCAUGGCCCAAUUAUUGGAAAAGUCAUCACUCCACCCCCACGUCAUUAGCUUUUUGUUUUUUUUCCUUUAAGGUCAAACCAUAGUUGACCGAUGAAUGUACUCCUAAUAUUAUCAACUAUUUGUAAAAAGACAAAAAUAACCUUAGAUUUGCAAAUAAUUUAAUGCAAACAAUUUUGUAUUUUUUUUUAAAGGCCUUUUCUCUCUUUGCUGUUCCCCUCUCCAUCUCUGAACAAGGUCGAAGCUUGAAGAAAUUGAUUGAUAAAAAGAGCGAGUUUUCAAAGCUGUUGAAGGAUCACUGCCGUUUACAAUUUUGGUUAUGUUAACACACUGACCCACAGGCAUUGUCCUCUAAUUCGUCUUCCUCAGAGGCUGAAAUGGCGAUUCGAGUGCAAUGAAAACCCCCAAGUUGCAAUGGCGAAGUGACGAAGCUCUCUCUAGGCAUAACAUUUUAACAAAACUGGGCAAAUCAAGAAAGGUUAAUUAUUGUGACGAGAAGAAAGACUUUCUAAUUUAUUAAGUGCCCGUUUGCUGCUGUGAUGGUGGUGAUUUGCCAAUGUCUUCCCUCUCGCCUCUCUGCAUUUUCCUUUUUUCAUCAAAGGAAAUUCAUGGAAUAAAGCGUAUAGUUUGUUUCAACUGUAUUUUUUCAUAGAAACAAAUCUUAAUAGAAAUAAUGUAUAAAUCUUUUGAUCCUACAAAAUUCAGAGCCUACGUGUGCAUCACAAAUUUGUUCACUUCCGUAUAUUUAUCUAUUUGACUGUAAGAAGAAAAAGGGAAGAAGGUAGUUUCGUAAAAUUCCGUAUAUGACUAUUAUUGUUCUUAUACACUCCCACAAAACUGCAAUAACAAAAUUUACAAAGAUAUACAGAAAACGAUGAAUAACAACACAGUUUACGUACCAGAAUACCUUGCGUCUUACGGUUACAACAUGAGCCAGAGAUCUAGAAGACAAUGCUCGCAGUUGGGUUCCGCAUUUCAUCAUUGAACGAAAUUCAUCAUAGCUGAUCCUACCAUCCUGUAUACACAAAUUAAAGUCAUGGGAAUUGGCUUACAACAAUGCAGACAAAUUACUAAUGCCCUUGCGAACUGAAAAUCAACUUACUUUGUCUCUGUCAACUUCAGACAUUAUUUCUUUAAUUGUAGCAAUUGUGGCAUCAUCACCCAUGCCAUAAUCUUUGAAAGCUUUUCCAAGUUCAUCUACCGUGAUAUAUCUACACAGCCAUUUAGAAUAAGAACUUCAUUAAUUAGUUGAUUGACGCCAGAUAUAACUCAUUAAAUUGAAGCAAGUUAAUGGAGGGAGUAUGUUUUCAAUAUUCCCCCUUCAGAUCAUGAUAAAACUGAGGAUGCAAAUAAUGCUCAACAUGCUUCCAUAAUAAUAAAAAUAAAAUGAGAAGCCUACCCAUUAUUAUCCUUGUCAAAGUACUGAAAGGCUUUGUAAAGAUUUUCAAAUCUUUGUAGCUUGUGCCUUUGCAUUGUAGCUGUUAUAAACUCAAUGUAGUCAAUGGUCCCAUUUCCAUCUAUAUCAGCCUGCAGAAAUGCCGAGCCAACAAUAUCAGCUGGGUAUCAAGCAACUAGACAGACAGUGGGCUAAACCCAGAGUUCAUGAAUUACUUACAGCUUGCAUGUACUGCUUGACAUCAAAUUCUGUAAGCAUCGAUCCAAGUUUAGCUAAUCCUGCCUUCAAUUCAUCGUAAGUAAGAGUGCCACUGUUGUCAGUGUCCAUCUCUGUAAAUUUUUCCUUUAGCUUUUGUAUUUCUUCAGUCGGAAGAUUUUCCACAAUGACCUAAAGAAUGCUUGGGUUAUCAUUCGGGGGAGCGCAAUGGAAUACAUAAAUUUUUAUUGGCUCGCACAAGUUUUCAAAAUACAAUAAUACAAUAAAGCAUUGUUGAUGAGGAAGUGUAGAUGCAAAAUUUCAAUCAAACAGGUAACCCAUAAUUCACACAGUCAUAUAAAUUUCUGUUAUAAUGUUCAGAAUACAAUGUCAUCAUGAACAUCUAUACAAUGACAUCAUGUAUAGAUUCUUGUACAUGUUAUUUGGAGAAUCUUUUGACAUGUGGAUAUUAUUUAUCAUGUGUGCUUGAGAUAUAAGCUUUGUCACUUUCCUUUAUAUCUAUGAAUCCUAUUCAUGUAUUUCUCAAGUUUAAGCUCAAAUAGGGGGGAUUAAUGGGCCUUAGACUUGCCUUUAGUGCAAGUUUCUUUAGUUUAUUCAUUGCCGUAAAUUGCUUCAUCCUGAAAAUAACAGCAGUGUCGAUUGGCUUAUCUGAUGCUUCUCCACUUUCUUUAAGCCAAGGGUGCUCUGCAUUAUAUACAUUUUUCAAUGGUAGCUAUACUAUUCGUAUUAUUAAAUCGAAUAAUAAAUUUUAACUUACAGUAAUCAAAGCAGCAUAGAUAGAAUGAAUGAGAAAAAUUAAUAACAUGAGGAUCCAAUGCUUUAUACCUAGAACUUGAGCAGCAGUAAUCCGCCUUUUUGGAUCCAGUGUUAGCAUCCUGCGAACCAACUCUAUGGCACUGCUUGAUAUACUUGGAAAAGGAUCACGUUGGAAGUUAAUUUCUCCUUUUAAUAUAGCCCAUUAAGCAGGGGAAACUAGAACCUAGAGCCUUGAAUGGUGUAUUUUUAGGCUAUCCAGAUGAGGUGAAGGGAUUUGAACUCUGGUGUACUGAUUUGAAACCACCAAGAGCUAUUAUCAGUAGGGAUGUUGUAUUUAAUGAAGCUGAAAUGCUUCAAAAUACAACACAGCCAAAAACUAUGAUCAUUAAGCUUGGAGACAGAAACCAGAAGUUUCACUUUGAGGUGGAGCUCUCAACUUCUAAUGCAAGACAUGAACCAAGAGUUGAACCUGAGUCAGAAUCGGAUAUGCAGAUUCCUGAGUCUAUACCUAACUUAGUAGGUGAUAAGGAAGUAAGGGAUUAUCAGUUCGUGAGAGACAGAGAAAAAAGGGUUAUAAAGCCACCAAAGAGAUAUGCUUAUGCAGACCCUAUUGCAUUUGCAUUGACAGUAGCACAUGAAGUUGAACCUGAUGAACCAAGAACUUAUUCAGAAGCUGUUAAGAGUAAUAAGUCAAAAGGAGUGGAAACAAGCUAUGGAUAAGGAAAUGCAAUCAUUGAUAAAAAACCAGACAUGGGAGCUGAUUGAAAAACCAGCAAAUAAGAGGGUAGUGGGCUGUAAAUGGGUUUAUAAGAUUAAAGAAUGGAUACUAGGUGUUGAAUCUCAAAGGUAUAAAGUUAGGCUUGUUGCCAAAGGCUUUACACAGAAAGAGGGUAUUGACUUCACAGAGGUGUUUUCUCUAAUAGUCAGACACUUAUCCUUAAGAAUCUUAUUAGCACUUGUAGUUGUCAAAGACAUGCACCUUGAGCAGAUGGAUGUCAAGACUGCCUUCCUUCAUGGUGAAUUUGAUGAAAUGAUUGUAAUGGCUCAACCAGAAGGCUAUGUGAAUCCAGAAAAGGCUGAUUAUGCUUGUCAUCUAAAAAAGCCACUAUAUGGGCUUAAACAAUCUCCAAGGCUGUGGUAUUUGAGAUUUGACAAGUUUAUGUCAGAACAUGGUUUCCAAAGAAGUAGUUUUGACUGCUGUGUAUAUUUCAAAUAGGUGGAGGAUGACACCAAGAUUUAUCUGCUGUUAUACGUUGAUGAUAUGUUGAUUGCAUGUUAAAACAUGGAGCAAAUAAAUGUCCUUGAACAACAACUGAGAGAAGUCUUUGAAAUGAAGGAUUUAAGAGCAGCAAAGAAAAUACUUGGGGUAGAAAUAAUCAGAGAUAAAAAGCAGGGUAUCCUAUACUUAACUCAACAGAAAUGCAUCAGGAAAGUACUCGAGAAGUUUGGGAUGGGGAGCUCAAAGCCUGUCCAAACACCACUACCAGCUCAUUUUAGACUCUCAAGUCAGCAGUGCCCAAAAACUGAAGAAGAGAUGACUGAAAUAAACAUGGUUCCUUACUCAAGUGUUGUUGGGUGCCUAAUGUAUGCAAUGGUUCUAACCAGGCCAGAUAUAUCUUAUGCAGUAAGUGUGGUAAGCAAAUAUAUGGCAAACCCUGGACAAGAACAUUGGAAAGUUGUGAUAUGGGUGCUGAGAUACCUAAAGGGCACAUCUGAUUAUGGUCUGGUCUAUGGAAUCAGAAAAUAAGAGGAAGUCAUAGUUGAAGGCUUUGUAGAUGCUGAUUUUGCUGGGGAUCUGGAUAAGAAAAGGUCCUCGACAGGUUACAUAUUUACUCUAAAUGGCUGUACUGUCAAUUGGAAAGCCACAUUGAAGAAUGUUGUAGCAUUAUCAAUAAUUGAAGCAGAGUACACUGCAGCAGCAGAAGCUGUUAAAGAAUCAAUAUGGCUUAGAGGAAUGGUAACUGAACUGGGAUUCAAACAAGAGCAGGUGUUGGUUCAUUGUGACAAUCACAGUGCUAUUUGUUUGAGUAAAAAUCAAGUCCAUCACGAAAGAACUAAACACAUAGAUAUCAAGCUUCAUUUUCUGAGACUAGAGGUAUCAAAAGGAGUGGUGAAGUUAGAGAAAAUUCACACUGAUGAUAACCUUGUAGACUUCCUAACCAAGGCUGUUCCAGGUGCCAAGUUUGAGUUAUGUUUGAACUCAGCUGGGAUCUGCAAGAUAUAGAUUGCAGAUGUAAAGUGAUGGUGAGGAAGGGGAGCAGCAGAUUUGAGUUUAAGGUGGAGAAUGUUAGAUAUGAAGCUCAAAAUCUGAACUUGAGACUGUAUACGACAAGUCAACUUAAACCUUGCAUUGGGUAUGACAUGUCAGCUGCAGGAGUUCAGGGAGCUGUAUGACAUUCUUACUUUGUCGGUAAAAUAAGUAAGUGACUCACGUGAUGAAACACGUGCAUCACUUACUCAAAACGACAGAGGUGAAUACCGCUUUGUACUCAGGAGCUUAAGAAGAUGAAACACGUGGCUACCAGAGAUGCAAAAAGUCGUUAAAGCUUGUUAUCACACGGGCAAAAGACUGGGUUUGUUAUGAACAAACCCAAGUGGCGUUAGCAGUUGACUGAUGAAGGGUCCUUCUAGAUCAUUUCCUUACUAUAUAUAUAGCCCUAUGAUGAGAUCUUGUGUAGCGUGAUUUUGUACUAUCUUCUCAAGAACUUUGUAUCUUUAAUAAGCUCUGAUAGUGAAACUCUUCUUCUCCUUCACAGUGGAUGUAGGCUCACCUUGUGGCCGAACCACUAUAAAUCACUGGUGUCAAGUGUGUGUACUUUCUUUUCUGUUUUCUUUGAGUUGCUUGAGUGAAUUACCACUUAUUCAUUAGCCAAUAAAACUAAGUAAAUUCUGAAAUCUUGAGCAAAUAAAGGUGGAUCUUGGGAGAAUUAAAUCGGUGACAAAUUGGUUAAGUUCUAACAGAUUGUUUUCUUAAGGUUUAAAAAUAAUGUUAUUUAAAAUUAAUUAUUACAAAUAUUCAUCGACUCCAUACCUAUUAAAAUUUAACAAACACUAAUAACAACUGCAAUUUAAAAGUUACAACACCUUUAUAAAAAACCAUCAGCUUCUACUCCAUAGUUAUAACUUUUACUCUAUAACAAUUGCAACUUAAAAGAUACAAUACUGCACUUCCAAACGCACCCUAAGUGGUGGCUGCUGUCGCGCUGCUGCAGGGUUUGAGGAGGCUGGGCUUUUGCUUAAACAGCAACCCAUUUCUGCAUAAGAGGCUCAGCUCAAGCUCAACUCUGGAUGCUGGAUCUUUACAAAAGUAAACUGGAACAGAUCCAGUUGAGAUCAAACAUAAAUUAUAGGGAAUCAAAUGAGAUUUUGAGGAAAAGCAAAAUAAAAUAUAAAGAAUGAUUCCAGCUUGCCCACUUGGGAGGCACCAACUGUAUAUUUGUAUGCGCAUAUAUAUUUAACUAUCAAACUAUACGUCAAUAUAGUUAAAAUUUAUGGGCCUUUUUUUUUUUUUUUGGUAAGAAAUUUAUUGGCUUUUGUUGGAAAUGGUCAGCGAAAAAGAAACGCGUGGGAUAGGAUAGAAGUUUGAAUAAAUGAUGAGGUUGUAAAUAAUGUCUUUAGGACAGAAAUUUGAUAUUAAAAUUGGAAUUAUGGAACCUUCCCCAUGACACGAACAAUGAAUAACAAAGAUUCCGUUCAUAUUUUUAUUCUCUCCAUAAAUUAAAAAAAAAUUAAUAAGUUAAAUAAUAUCUUUCAAGUUCCAACUUUCAGAAGUUGCGUUACACUUUAAAAGUUCAAAUAUACACGCAGCCCACAUAAUUCAUUAUUUUUAUUAAAUUUUUUUUAUAAAUAGUACUAAAAUUAAUAUUAUCAAUGAAAAAUUUCUAACAGAUUAAUAAUAUGAAGAUAAUUGUAUUUAAUAUUUAAAAUAAUUCGUAAAAAUGCAUAUUUUUUUCGUUUAUCAUGGCCCAAUUAUUGGAAAAGUCAUCACUCCACCCCCACGUCAUUAGCUUUUUGUUUUUUUUCCUUUAAGGUCAAACCAUAGUUGACCGAUGAAUGUACUCCUAAUAUUAUCAACUAUUUGUAAAAAGACAAAAAUAACCUUAGAUUUGCAAAUAAUUUAAUGCAAACAAUUUUGUAUUUUUUUUUAAAGGCCUUUUCUCUCUUUGCUGUUCCCCUCUCCAUCUCUGAACAAGGUCGAAGCUUGAAGAAAUUGAUUGAUAAAAAGAGCGAGUUUUCAAAGCUGUUGAAGGAUCACUGCCGUUUACAAUUUUGGUUAUGUUAACACACUGACCCACAGGCAUUGUCCUCUAAUUCGUCUUCCUCAGAGGCUGAAAUGGCGAUUCGAGUGCAAUGAAAACCCCCAAGUUGCAAUGGCGAAGUGACGAAGCUCUCUCUAGGCAUAACAUUUUAACAAAACUGGGCAAAUCAAGAAAGGUUAAUUAUUGUGACGAGAAGAAAGACUUUCUAAUUUAUUAAGUGCCCGUUUGCUGCUGUGAUGGUGGUGAUUUGCCAAUGUCUUCCCUCUCGCCUCUCUGCAUUUUCCUUUUUUCAUCAAAGGAAAUUCAUGGAAUAAAGCGUAUAGUUUGUUUCAACUGUAUUUUUUCAUAGAAACAAAUCUUAAUAGAAAUAAUGUAUAAAUCUUUUGAUCCUACAAAAUUCAGAGCCUACGUGUGCAUCACAAAUUUGUUCACUUCCGUAUAUUUAUCUAUUUGACUGUAAGAAGAAAAAGGGAAGAAGGUAGUUUCGUAAAAUUCCGUAUAUGACUAUUAUUGUUCUUAUACACUCCCACAAAACUGCAAUAACAAAAUUUACAAAGAUAUACAGAAAACGAUGAAUAACAACACAGUUUACGUACCAGAAUACCUUGCGUCUUACGGUUACAACAUGAGCCAGAGAUCUAGAAGACAAUGCUCGCAGUUGGGUUCCGCAUUUCAUCAUUGAACGAAAUUCAUCAUAGCUGAUUCUACCAUCCUGUAUACACAAAUUAAAGUCAUGGGAAUUGGCUUACAACAAUGCAGACAAAUUACUAAUGCCCUUGCGAACUGAAAAUCAACUUACUUUGUCUCUGUCAACUUCAGACAUUAUUUCUUUAAUUGUGGCAAUUGUGGCAUCAUCACCCAUGCCAUAAUCUUUGAAAGCUUUUCCAAGUUCAUCUACCGUGAUAUAUCUACACAGCCAUUUAGAAUAAGAACUUCAUUAAUUAGUUGAUUGACGCCAGAUAUAACUCAUUAAAUUGAAGCAAGUUAAUGGAGGGAGUAUGUUUUCAAUAUUCCCCCUUCAGAUCAUGAUAAAACUGAGGAUGCAAAUAAUGCUCAACAUGCUUCCAUAAUAAUAAAAAUAAAAUGAGAAGCCUACCCAUUAUUAUCCUUGUCAAAGUACUGAAAGGCUUUGUAAAGAUUUUCAAAUCUUUGUAGCUUGUGCCUUUGCAUUGUAGCUGUUAUAAACUCAAUGUAGUCAAUGGUCCCAUUUCCAUCUAUAUCAGCCUGCAGAAAUGCCGAGCCAACAAUAUCAGCUGGGUAUCAAGCAACUAGACAGACAGUGGGCUAAACCCAGAGUUCAUGAAUUACUUACAGCUUGCAUGUACUGCUUGACAUCAAAUUCUGUAAGCAUCGAUCCAAGUUUAGCUAAUCCUGCCUUCAAUUCAUCGUAAGUAAGAGUGCCACUGUUGUCAGUGUCCAUCUCUGUAAAUUUUUCCUUUAGCUUUUGUAUUUCUUCAGUCGGAAGAUUUUCCACAAUGACCUAAAGAAUGCUUGGGUUAUCAUUCGGGGGAGCGCAAUGGAAUACAUAAAUUUUUAUUGGCUCGCACAAGUUUUCAAAAUACAAUAAUACAAUAAAGCAUUGUUGAUGAGGAAGUGUAGAUGCAAAAUUUCAAUCAAACAGGUAACCCAUAAUUCACACAGUCAUAUAAAUUUCUGUUAUAAUGUUCAGAAUACAAUGUCAUCAUGAACAUCUAUACAAUGACAUCAUGUAUAGAUUCUUGUACAUGUUAUUUGGAGAAUCUUUUGACAUGUGGAUAUUAUUUAUCAUGUGUGCUUGAGAUAUAAGCUUUGUCACUUUCCUUUAUAUCUAUGAAUCCUAUUCAUGUAUUUCUCAAGUUUAAGCUCAAAUAGGGGGGAUUAAUGGGCCUUAGACUUGCCUUUAGUGCAAGUUUCUUUAGUUUAUUCAUUGCCGUAAAUUGCUUCAUCCUGAAAAUAACAGCAGUGUCGAUUGGCUUAUCUGAUGCUUCUCCACUUUCUUUAAGCCAAGGGUGCUCUGCAUUAUAUACAUUUUUCAAUGGUAGCUAUACUAUUCGUAUUAUUAAAUCGAAUAAUAAAUUUUAACUUACAGUAAUCAAAGCAGCAUAGAUAGAAUGAAUGAGAAAAAUUAAUAACAUGAGGAUCUACUGCUUUAUACCUAGAACUUGAGCAACAGUAAUCCGCCUUUUUGGAUCCUGUGUUAGCAUCCUGCGAACCAACUCUAUGGCACUGCUUGAUAUACUUGGAAAAGGAUCACGUUGGAAGUUAAUUUCUCCUUUUAAUAUAGCCUGAGCAACUCCCUGAUCCGUUUCUGCAGAGCACAUAAAAUAUUCAGAGUGAUCAUAGUUACACUCUGGUUGACAGUAAGAAAUAAAAGUAGGUUGUUGAAGUGAAAAGAGAUCCUGUAGGGUGCAAAAUGAAUAUUGAUUUUCACCUGCCCAAAAGGGAGGUACACCACACAAUAAAAUAUACAAUAUAACUCCUGCGCUCCAAAUGUCUGCUUCCUUCCCAUAACUUUGCGAUAAUACUUCAGGAGCAAUAUAGUAAGGACUUCCAACUAUUUCUCUAUAUGCCUUUCCUGGAAAAUGUAUCACAGGAUAAUAAAAAAAGAAUGCAUUAAUAGCUCGAUUAAUCAAAUAUGCCUUCAUGGUGAUCCUAAGAGUUUUGUAUUAUUUUCUUAUGAUUUCACCAAAAUCAAUACGUUAAGUGAGUUACAGCUUACUCAAAUGAUAUGUAUCGGAAAAUUCUACAGGCAUGAAAGACUACUACAUGCAGUAAAAUCUAAACAUGGAAAAUGGGCAAGCAAGGUAGAGAAAUUUACCCUCUUCAAUGAACGCUGAUAACCCAAAAUCAGUGGCCUUCACAACAGCAUUCUCAUCCCCGGUAGUGAACAAGAAAUUCUCAGGUUUGAGAUCCCUGUGCAUAACACCCUUAGAGUGGCAAACAUUCACAACAUUCAUAAUUACCCUGAAUACAGAAGCCGCAGAUCUCUCGCUAUAAUGGCCCCUGGCUACAAUUCGAUCAAAUAGCUCACCACCAGCACAUAAUUCCAUAACAAUAUGCACAAAUUGGUCAUCCUCAUAAGCAGCCUUGAAUUGAA
rnacentral:lncRNA from 1 species